rnacentral:rRNA from 1 species
CACGUAGUUAGCCGGCGCUUCUUAUCCAGCUAUCGUCAACCCACCCACCAGGGGCAGGCCUGCUUCACUGGCGAAAGAGGUUCACAACCCGAAGGCCUCCAUCCCUCACGCGGCGUCGCUGCAUCAGGCUUGCGCCCAUUGUGCAAUAUUCCCCACUGCUGCCUCCCGUAGGAGUCUGGGCCGUGUCUCAGUCCCAGUGUGACCGUCCACCCUCUCAGGCCGGCUACCCGUCACCGCCUUGGUAGGCCAUCACCCCACCAACAAGCUGAUAGGCCGCGAGCCCAUCCCCCACCAGAAAAAACCUUUCCCAGACCCAUCAUGCGACAGACCCAGAAUAUCCCGUAUUAGCCACACUUUCAUGCGGUUAUCCAGAAGAAGGGGGCAGGUUACUCACGUGUUACUCACCCGUUCGCCACUCAUCCACACCCCCAAAAGGACGCGCUUCACCGUUCGACUUGCAUGUGUUAAGCACGCCGCCAGCCGUUCGUCCGUCGUACGCCGAGGACGUCGUAAA